AAGUGAUAUGCACGCAAAGUGUGCGUGAUAUUGUUGCCUAUGGCAACAGUGAUAUUUGCGCUUUGCGCAAGUGAUAUUGCAA
rfam:Firmicutes bacterium CAG:475 genomic scaffold, scf109